GCUUCCGUGCAAAAAUAAAUGAUAACAAAUGAUGUUUCUUUCUCCAUUAUGUUAGUUAUAAAACGUGUAGGUAUACGAAGUAAAGAUUAGAAUUCCGUAUCUAGAAGUGUAAUACCAUAGUACUCGCAAUAAUAAAACAAAUGCACUUAACCGUUUGUCAAUGUAAAAAGAAAUAUCUUGUGUUUCAUCAAAAGUGGGAUUGAUUUCUAGUUAAUUUUUUCUGUUAAAUCUGCAUCUCGAUCCGCAUUUAAAAUCAAAUUCGUACAAAAUGUUUGUUGAGGCCGUUUUAGAAUUUUUUUAAAAACCACAUUUUGGUCAUCAGAUUGUUUUUGUUUAUUACAAUUUUGUGACGGUGUGGAAGUAAAGUAGUUUAAAAGAUUAUUUGUAGGCCCUUUACUCAUAUUUUAUUAUUGAUAAAUAAUUCAAGAUAUAGGUGUUCUUCAAAUUACAUUUAAAACGGAUAUCUGCGGAGUACAAACUGACAUGUACACUAUCGUUCUUUUGCAUUUUACUCGUAUGUACCAACCGGCAAAACUCAAAAUUAUUUAAUUUUGUUCCUUCCA